UACGAGGGGUGCAAGCGUUAUUCGGAAUCAUUGGGCGUAAAGGGUGCGUAGACGGCUUAUCAAGUCAACUGUUUAAUUCUCCGGCCUAACUGGAGGCCAGCGGUAGAAACUGAUAGGCUUGAGGUUGGAAGAGAGAAGUGGAAUUCUCGGAGUAGCGGUAAAAUGCGUAGAUCUCGAGAGGAACACCGAUGGCGAAGGCAGCUUCUUGGUCCAAAUCUGACGUUGAGGCACGAAAGCGUGGGGAGCAAACAGG
rnacentral:rRNA from 1 species